AGGGGCGGGGGUAAAGGCUGAUACACGGGCAGGGGUGGGCCAAGGUGGCCCCUACAAAGACCCAGGUGGGAAUCCUGACUCGGCCCGCCCCUCCAAGGCUCAGUUUUCUCAUCAUUACAAUGGGUAGAAGAGGGCGCUCAGCGUCCCUGCUCGCGUCCCCCUCGCCCUGCUGAACUAGGGCCCCUGCACAUCCCCAUCUGUGAGGCACCUUGCAUAGGGGACUCCAGACCAGUAUCUUCCACUCCCAGCGGAUAUCAGGGGACCGCUCGAGUCGUGCCUGCGCCGGGAGGUGGACCCGCAGCUGCCCCGGGUCGUGCAGACCCUGCUGCGCACCGUGGAAGCCUCGCUCGAGGCGGUGCGGACCCUCCUGGCUCAAGGCAUGGACCGACUGUCCCACCGCCUGCGCCAGAGCCCCUCGGGCACGCGGCUGCGCAGGGAGGUUUACUCAUUUGGGGAGAUGCCGUGGGACUUGGCGCUGAUGCAGACAUGCUACCGUGAGGCUGAGCGGAGCCGGGGGCGCUUGGGGCAGCUGGCAGCACCGUUUGGCUUUCUGGGGAUGCAGAGCCUUGUGUUUGGGGCCCAAGAUCUUGCACAGCAGCUCAUGGCUGACGCCGUGGCCACCUUCCUGCAGCUGGCUGACCAGUGUCUGACCACGGCCCUCAACUGUGACCAGGCUGCCCAGAGGCUGGAGAGAGUCAGGGGGCGCGUGCUGAAGGUGUGGACUGUGGGUACGGGGUGGCAUGGGGUGGCAGUGGGCCUGGGUGCUCAGAUGGUUGCUGGAUGCACCGCUGGCUGUGUUGUGCAGAAAUUCGAAUCGGACAGCGGGUUGGCGCAGAGGAGGUUCAUCCGAGGCUGGGGUCUCUGCAUCUUUUUACCUUUUGUGCUGAGCCAACUCGAGCCAAGCUGCAAAAAGGUGAGUUAAUGGGAAGCAUGCAAGAGGGUCUGACAGCAUCACCAUGCAUCCACGUAAAGUGGGCAAGAAUGCUCUUUGAGGCUGGGUGCAGUGGCUCACGCCUGUAAUCCCAGCAAUUUGGGAGGCCAAGGUGGGCGGAUCACGAGGUCAGAAGUUUGAGACUAGCCUGGCCAACAUAGUGAAACCCCGUCUCUACUAAAAAUACAAAAAAUUAGCCAGGCGUGGUGGCAGGCGCCUGUAAUUCCAGCUACUCAGGAGGCUGAAGCAGGAAAAUCGCUUGAACUCGGGAAGGGGAGGUUGCAGUGAGCCAAGAUCGCGCCAUUGCACUCCAGCCUGGGCGACAGAGUGAAACGCCGUCUCAAAAAGAAAAAAA
rnacentral:sRNA from 1 species